UACUCGAGUGGCGAACGGGUGAGUAACACGUGGGUGAUCUGCCCUGCACUUCGGGAUAAGCCUGGGAAACUGGGUCUAAUACAGGAUAGGAACCGUCUUUAGUGUGGUGGUUGGAAAGUUUUUUCGGUGCAAGAUGAGCUCGCGGCCUAUCAGCUUGUUGGUGGGGUAAUGGCCUACCAAGGCGUCGACGGGUAGCCGGCCUGAGAGGGUGUACGGCCACAUUGGGACUGAGAUACGGCCCAG
rnacentral:rRNA from 1 species